rnacentral:tRNA from 1 species
GACCUGGUAGCUCCAACGGUAGAGCGUCUGACUCCAGAUCAGACGGUUCAGGGUUCGAAUCCCUGUCGGGUCAC